UACGUAGGGCGCAAGCGUUGUCCGGAAUUACUGGGCGUAAAGCGCACGUAGGCGGAUUUGUUAGUCAGGGGUGAAAUCCCGGGGCUCAACCUCGGAACUGCCUUUGAUACUGCAAGUCUCGAGUCCGAUAGAGGUGGGUGGAAUUCCUAGUGUAGAGGUGAAAUUCGUAGAUAUUAGGAAGAACACCGGUGGCGAAGGCGGCCCACUGGAUCGGUACUGACGCUGAGGUGCGAAAGCGUGGGGAGCAAACGGG
rnacentral:rRNA from 1 species